UUCAUAUCAACGCAUGCAAUGAUAACACGAAAACUCGGGAUGAGCAACAGAUUGGAUUUUCUGGGACGCAACUCCGAUGUGAAUUCAGCCCGAAAAAUGGCAAAUAUUUUGAAAACAGCGUGGAAAUGCCUGGUGAGGAUGCACUCCAGUGUCAGUAAUGCAUCUAUCCUAGUGGAGCUCGUUCACGUGCAUCAAGCAGGAAGCGACCAAUCGUCUUUGGUGAUUAUCCCGGUGGCCCUAUAUCCCACUAGGUUAGUUUGCACCACGGCAUCAUGCACAACUACACAUUGUGCAUCAUCAGGGACAGCGUUAAGUAGAUUCACUAACCCAGGGUAUAACGAUACAGUUGACUGUGUCGUCAACCGACAGUCAUCGUAUGUACCAACAUCGGUGUUAUUAUACCGCCUGCAUUCAAUGUACCCUUCCGCAAUGCCAUGACAGAGAGAGAUGACAACAUGAUGCAACACACUUCAUCACAAUUGAUCUCGAUGUGUGGGUAGACCGUGAUAGAGAAAGAGAGGGGCUCGUGUUACACUUUAUGUACGGGUUUACGUGGUGAUUGCCGAGGUGAAGGAGGAAUUCAACAAACCGCACUUGUGCUACACAUCAUUAUCAUAAAUGCCCGCGAUUCUAACCCACGCGUAAAUCUGUUUCGCAAAUUGUACGGAGAGUUAUGUCAUCGGGCAAAUGAAUGAUCGAGGGAACUCUUUGGGUUUCUAGAGCAGCUCAUCUCUUCUCUAUGAUUUCUCCCGAGGUUGAGAAUGCACACUUCAAAUACCAUCACGAUGUUUGUUGAUAAAUCCCGACACUGCAUUGGUACACCCAACGAAUAUAAAUGGCUCAACGCGAUGGCAACGAUGUGCGGUAUGCGACACGUUGAGAAACAAAACUGAGUGGAAGAUUCAAACUCGUUAAUGUCAAAACUCAACGCAGUGAAAGCCCAGUUACCAAACAAUUGCAGUAUCUGUUUGUUUGUUGUGAGUUUGCCGGAGGUGGGCGAGGAACAAUGCCAAACUAGCCUGCCAAAGUGUAACACUGCCGAGGAGGAUGGAGUUACAUCGAUAACAGGGUGGACGUAUGAUGACUCUGAAUAUACUACAGGUCAGAUACCAGAGCCAAACCAUCAACCUCACGAGCAAGUUGAACCGAUUGAUACAUCAACACUUUCUCUCCCUCAAUACACCACUGUCUCAGUCUCCAUUGAUUAUCGAGGAAAACUUCCAGAAUGUUUAUUGAGGCCAGGGAAUUGGUAGCAUCGAGGAACAAAGAGGAUGGAAGGUCAUUGAGUCUCCAUACUACUCCACAAUAGUUGUUUACCAGAGUCAUACUGAUCGAUACCCUGUUGUUUGCUAUCAGAGGGUACCAUGCACGUUGGGCGCUACUUGCCCAACACCAAAAGUAAACAUAUAUCAAUCCACCUAGACCCCCUCCUCCUCUCAUCCCCCUAUCCAUCGAUAUAAACACAAUUCCCUGGAACGAUUUCCUCCCGAAUUCUAACACUGAAUUGACCGCUCGCAGACGCCAUCUCCAUUGGUCCAUUCGAGCUCUGAUCAUUCGGAAGGAAUUAUCAUGGAUUUGCAAAUGAAGUGAUGGGUCUGAGGUAGACAGUGUACAGAAAUAGCCCUGAGGGGUAACUGCACCCUUGAGGAGGGUCAUCUCUGAACGAUCUCGGGCAGUUUCACUUCAUCCAUUUGCAUAAUAGGAACUGCCCCUUUCUCGGUGUAUAAACCCGGUGAGGUGAGGGUGUUAACUUAAGAGGCUGUCGGAACUGAGGAAAUCUCAACAGUGAAACGCGAGUGUGGAUAACGAGAACGUGGGUCUCGUUAGAAUUAGCCCGCACAUGUGACGGCAGAUCUGAUUUGAUCAGAGGGUAGACAGAGUGGGAUAUACAGUGGAGGGGUUGUACAAAAGCUGCCCCUAUAACCCACCAGAAUUUCUAACCGAAGAGUUAUCCACCAGAAUCUAUCAUUUCUCAAGAUUUGAAUAAUGCCGAUGAUCACUCAGGGAGGAAUCAAAACAGACGGGGACAUGAAUUAAACUCCCGCCUGGAGGAGCAUCCGCGCUGUCUUUCCAAAGAAUUUACGAUUUUAUUGAAUAUAUCCACCAAUGAUACGAGACAAUUGUAAAAUACUGAGGUAUCUGUGGAUGAAACUGUUGGAGCAGUGGAAAAAUUGCGAUAAAUUAAUGAGACAAGCGGCCAUGUAAUAAGAUGGCUAACGCUAUGCUAUCAGCGAAGGCCCUUUCCGAGUUAUUAAUUGCUCUCGUAAAAAGCGUAAAGCCUGCUUCCAUGGGCAUCGAGGGAUCGCACUUGAGUGGACCCAGCGAUUCGCAUAAUUAACGUGAAAAUUGAAAGCUCCUUGAUAAUUGAAAAAUAAAACGCGCCUGUAGGUGAGAGAAAAUAUUCAGAAAUGAUGAUUCAACGCAGUUUAUCAAAUUCAUCGUGUAUGGUAAGCUCGAAAAAAUUGAAGGGGGGGAGGAUUGAGAAUUUGGCUGGAAAUUUUUCCACACCUU